CUCAAGACCUUCCCUGAUAAUCCCUUUUGAUCUCUCAACAUAAAUUCUGGUGUUGAUGCUAUGAAAACAGACACAGUAUUCCACGAAUGACACAGACAUGGUUCCAGCUAGUGAUGCAUCACAUGGGCUCCUUCUGCUAGUCACGCAUCUCCUCUCUCCCAAAUAUACAUUCAGCGCCAUCAUGUAGUCAAGUGAUGGAACUCCAUCUGUACAAAGGAAUUCACCUCAUUUUUAUGUAUACUUCAGUAACUUGUGUCCUCUGCAAAUUUUAACCUUAAUUCUAUUUUCUUUUAGAAAAUUAUAAAGAAAUAACUGAAUGCAGUGAUCUACACGGUGUCUACAUGGUGCUCCACUAGAAAGUCUCCUUGAAGAUGGUGUCUUCCUGUUCACAGUUAAUCAUUAACAUAAUUCAACUACUUUUAGGUACUGCUAUUCAUUUUAAUUUGAAGAGCAUGGCACAGAAUACCUGCACAAAAUUAUCAAAUUAUAACCUCAUCAAAAGUCUGUUCCAUGAAGAAACAGCCACACUGACCACAUGCAGCCCUGUCUUUAUAAAAACUAAGAUGUGAAUAUCAGAAUGAAAGGAAGAAACAAAGAGUCAUCAUGCAAUUAUCACACGUUUAUAUACGAACCUUGCUGGAAGGGAGGUCCUGCUGAAGAUGAAACUGUACGUUCUCUGUGCCAGUAUUUAAAAGUAACUUAGUGACCUCUGCUGAAAUACUCAGAGCUCUUAUUAAACUGCUGCUUUGUGGUGAAGAAAGAUGUGCUGGUGUGGACAAGAUUAGAGAAUUAGGGUUAAUUCAGCCAACUGUGUAGGAAGAAGACUUACAUGAAACCAUCUUCCAUAUCCAUAGAUAAUUUAUGAAUAGAAUGCAAGUACCGUUCUACAGUCUCAAAUAGACACAGCUGGUUAGGCGCACACAGCCUGCCAUCCUAGCCAGCAGGGGAAGCAUUUGUCACUUGUUUCAAAUUUGCUUUCUCUUAAGUUGAUGGCACACUUGAUGAACUUUACUAAUUGCAUUUUGGAAGGAUGGAAAAGAUCAUUCAAGAAGGAAAAGAACCCAUAAAAAACUGAAAACAAAUCCAGACACGCAGUUAGGCUGGAUAAACCUUUAAAAGUGCUACAAACUCUUUGCAUCUGCACCUGUGGCAGGUGAUGGAUCCCUGUUACAGAUGGAGUUUCAUUUUUAAACCAUGAAGAGGAGUUCUACGUGUGAAUAGUUUGAAAAAACAGGUCAUAAAGGUGUUUAAUAAGGUCUUCCUAUUAAGGGUAGUCCUCUGCACAGAAAUGAAAAUGGAACCAACUAAAACAGUAUAAAUUUAACUGGUCAUGAUAGCAAUCUUUGGAAGUAAAUGAAGGAAAAUAAAAGAAUAUUUUUGCUCUCUCCACAGAUGCCAGAAGGGCAGGGCAAGGGCUGGGUAACGAACUGUAGCACCCAUAUCUUCUGCCAACCAGGUCACCUGGGGCACAAAAACUUGUUCAUAUUGGCUCAUUUUUGAUAUCAUGCUAACACCUUUACCUUCCCAGUGACAGUCAGCUGUAGCAUGUAAUUUGUGCUGUUUUUUUUUUUUUUUUUUUUUUUUUUCUCCAAGUCCAAUGUACCUGAACAAAAGCUGUGUGUUUUCUGGGGAGAAUCCCUGUGGCUGGAAUUUCUCAUAAGCCACCAGAAGGCAGCUGACCCUUGAGCAUUGCUGAAGUCCAGAAUUG
ensembl:lncRNA